CAUCACUACGCUAGAUGCAUAUCAAUAAGCGGAGGAAAAGAAACUAACAAGGAUUCCCCUAAUAACGGCGAGUGAAGCGGGAAGAGCUCAAAUUUGAAAUCUUAAAGGGUUUCCCUUUACGAAUUGUAGUUUAAAGAAGUGUUUUCUGUUGAGGUUUUGGUAAAAGUUCUUUGGAAUAGGACAUCAUAGAGGGUGAGAAUCCCGUAUUUGACCUUUACUUUCAACUUUGUGAUACACUUUCAAAGAGUCGGAUUGUUUGGGAAUGCAGUCCAAAAUGGGUGGUAAAUUUCAUCUAAAGCUAAAUAUUGGCGAGAGACCGAUAGCGAACAAGUACCGUGAGGGAAAGAUGAAAAGAACUUUGAAAAGAGAGUUAAACAGUACGUGAAAUUGUCAAAAGGGAAGCGUUUGACACCAGUGUUGUUUUUCUGAAAAUCAAUUAAAGAACUGUUUAUGCUAAGUUGUUUAGACUUUAUCAGCUAACUGUUUAGUUUUGAGCUUUUCUUUAAUGCACUUUUCAGUUAACAAGUCAACAUCAAUUUCUUUUGCUGUAAAAAAGCUUGAGGAAGGUGGCUUGAGAUUCGUCUUAAGUGUUUAUAGCCUCUUGCCUAUGCAGUCGGAGAGAUUGAGGUCUGCAGCGUAGAUCCUUCGGGGCUAAAUGCAUUUGUGCUAAGUUAUAACAUUUUAUAGACAACUUGUUGACUAUGAUUUGUCUUGUAGCUUACUCGCUUAUGUUAUUUUACCUACGCUUAGGAUGUUGACGCAUGAGAUAUACGC
rnacentral:rRNA from 1 species